AAACGGGCUUGGAAGUUGAUUAGCCCAAGAACGUGUCCGCUAUAAAUACAAGGCAGCGGGAGUCUGAACUCUCAACCCUAGCUCGCUUUUCCUCCUCCCUUUCCAAAGGUGUACUCUGCUCUUGUAGUUUCGUUUUUGAUCUCUAUGUUAAUCUUUUUCUGAUUACGGAUAAAAAUGAGUGAAUGCAGCCCUGGAAAUCAGGUAUCAGCUGAAAACUAUUGAAGAAUUUAAUGAGAUCGGUAAUUGGAGAUUCAACUGCGCCGUCGCGACUCCAAUGGUGGUCGCCGUCAGCAAUACUUCGAACUCCUCCGCCACCCACCACCCUCAUCACCGCCCUCCACUACUGACGACUCCUGAUGCAAUUUUGGGUCAUAUGAAGAAACUGGAAUAGCAGAAACUACGACCCAAAAAGCCCGAAGGUACGCCUGAGU